AGAGAUCAUGGCUCAGAAUGAACGCUGGCGGCGUGCUUUACACAUGCAAGUCGAGCGAGGCGGCCCGCAAGGGCCAGUCGAGCGGCGAACGGGUGAGUAACGCGUGGAUUAUCUGCCCUGAGGUGGGGGAUAACCCGGGGAAACUCGGGCUAAUACCGCAUAUGACCGGAAGGUCAAAGGGGGGUCGCAAGAUCUCUCGCCUUUGGAGGAGUCCGCGUUCGAUUAGCUAGUUGGUAGGGUAAUGGCCUACCAAGGCGACGAUCGAUAGCCGGCCUGAGAGGGUGAUCGGCCACACUGGAACUGAGACACGGUCCAGACUCCUACGGGAGGCAGCAGUGGGGAAUUUUGCGCAAUGGGCUAACGCCUGACGCAGCAACGCCGCGUGGAGGAUGAAGGUCCUUGGAUUGUAAACUCCUGUCAGCAGGGAAAAAGCGACCUGACCUCAUACGUCAGGGAGUUGAUUGUACCUGCAGAGGAAGCCCCGGCUAACUCUGUGCCAGCAGCCGCGGUAAUACAGAGGGGGCAAGCGUUAUUCGGAAUUAUUGGGCGUAAAGGGCGCGUAGGCGGCUUGGCAAGUGGAUGGUGAAAUCCCUCGGCUUAACCGAGGAACUGCCAUCCAGACUGCUUCGCUUGAGACCGGGAGAGGUGAGUGGAAUUCCCAGUGUAGCGGUGAAAUGCGUAGAUAUUGGGAGGAACACCAGUGGCGAAGGCGGCUCACUGGACCGGUACUGACGCUGAGGCGCGAAAGCGUGGGAGCAAACGGGAUUAGAUACCCCGGUAGUCCACACCGUAAACGAUGAGUGCUUGGUGUAGCGGGUAUCGACCCCUGCUGUGCCGAAGUCAACACAUUUAGCACUUCGCCUGGGGAGUACGGUCGCAGGGCUGAAACUCAAAGG
rnacentral:rRNA from 1 species